UCAGGUAUUGUACGUGCAUUUAAUGCCC
rnacentral:sRNA from 1 species